rnacentral:rRNA from 1 species
GACGUAGGUGGCAAGCGUUGUUCGGAAUCACUGGGCAGAAAGCGCGCGUAGGCGGCCAAGUCAGUCAGGUGUGAAAUACCUCGGCUCAACCGAGGAACUGCGCCUGAUACUGCUUGGCUUGAGGUCCGGAGGGGAGAGUGGAAUUCCCGGUGGAGCGGUGAAAUGCGUAGAGAUCGGGAAGAACGCCGGCGGCGAAAGCGGGUCUCUGGGCCGAUACUGACGCUGAGGAGCGAAAGCGUGGGGAGCGAACAGG